AGGUACAUUGUUUUCUCCUAGUACAUGUGGUUGAUUUCUUCUAACAUAUUAAAACUACUGUAAAGUGACUCAUGAUUGAAAGCAUUCAUCGACUUAACAGUUACUAUUGAUAAAUUUUGGGAUUACCUAUUAAUUUAGGUUUUAGAUAUGGUGGAUGGCUAGAAUCAAUUUGAUGCAGUAGGAGAUAUUGGAUAUGAAUCUCAUUGUUAGAUGAUCAGCUGCUACAUUCAUCAUGUUUCACGAGUGCUUUGCUUGCUGUCUCGACCCUCGAC